UACGGAGGAUCCAAGCGUUAUCCGGAUUUAUUGGGUUUAAAGGGUGCGUAGGCGGCCCGUUAAGUCAGAGGUGAAAACUUGCAGCUCAACUGUAAGCGUGCCUUUGAUACUGACGGGCUUGAAUAGACCUGAGGUAGGCGGAAUGUGACAAGUAGCGGUGAAAUGCAUAGAUAUGUCACAGAACACCAAUUGCGAAGGCAGCUUACUAAAGUCUGAUUGACGCUGAGGCACGAAAGCGUGGGGAUCAAACAGGAUUAGAAACCCCAGUAGUCC
rnacentral:rRNA from 1 species